GACGAACGCUGGCGGCGUGCUUAACACAUGCAAGUCGAACGGAAAGGCCCUGCUUUUGUGGGGUGCUGGAGUGGCGAACGGGUGAGUAACACGUGAGUAACCUGCCCUUGACUUUGGGAUAACUUCAGGAAACUGGGUCUAUUCCCGCAUAGGAGCUCCUGCUGCUUGGUGGGGGUGGGAUAGUUUAGGCGGUUGGGAAUGGACUAGCGGCUUAUGGGCUUGUUGGUGUGGUAGUGGCAUACCAAGGCUUUGAACGGUAGCCGGGCUGAGAGGAGAACAGGCCACGUUGGGACGGGGAUACGGCACAGACUCGUACGGGAGGCGACGGAGGGGAAGAUAGUACAGUGCGCGGAAGGCUGACGUAGCAACGCCGCGUGGGGUAUGACAGGCAGCGGGUUGGAAACCGCAGUCGCCUGUGACGAAGCGUGAGUGACGGUAAUGGGUAAAGAAGCACCGGCUAACUACGUG
rnacentral:rRNA from 1 species